rnacentral:rRNA from 1 species
UACGGAGGGUGCGAGCGUUGUCCGGAAUCACUGGGCGUAAAGGGCGCGUAGGCGGCCUGAUAAGUAUGGGGUGAAAUCCUGCGGCUUAACCGCAGGGCUGCCUUCUAAACUGUCAGGCUUGAGCACAGUAGAGGCAGGUGGAAUUCCCGGUGUAGCGGUGGAAUGCGUAGAGAUCGGGAGGAACACCGGUGGCGAAGGCGGCCUUCUGGACGGUGACUGACGCUGAGGCGCGAAAGCGUGGGGAGCAAACGGG